GCCGAUCGAAAAUCGGGGCUCGCUCCGCCUUUAACAUGGCGCGCGCGCCACCGACUGUCCCGGCUACCUAUCUGGGACCUUACCUAAUGCGUCGGGCCUACGACUUAUACGUUCAAAGGUGUUUCGGCGAAACAUACAUUCCAAGCACAUCAAGCAAUUCAAGUAAGAGAGAAAGUUAGAAAAAUACAUUUUCGAUUUCAUUCAAGCUUGAACGGAGUUUACAAAAAUGGAUCGAAGCCCGACUGCAAGUACAUCAAACAAAAGAAAAACAAAACAUACUCCGACUAAUCACCUA
rnacentral:lncRNA from 1 species